rnacentral:tRNA from 1 species
GAGAGAGGCUCGCCAGCAACGAACACUGCUAAUUUACGUCACUUUGGUUGAACUCCAAGGCUCACUCG